GGAAUCUUCGGCAAUGGACGAAAGUCUGACCGAGCAACGCCGCGUGAGUGAAGAAGGUUUUCGGCUCGUAAAACACUGUUGUAAGAGAAGAAUGACAUUGAGAGUAACUGUUCAAUGUGUGACGGUAUCUUACCAGAAAGGAACGGCUAAAUACGUGCCAG
rnacentral:rRNA from 1 species